AACGAACGCUGGCGGCAUGCCUAACACAUGCAAGUCGAACGAGACCUUCGGGUCUAGUGGCGCACGGGUGCGUAACGCGUGGGAACCUGCCCUUAGGUUCGGAAUAACUCCCCGAAAGGGGUGCUAAUACCGGUUAAUGUCUUCGGACCAAAGAUUUAUCGCCUUUGGAUGGGCCCGCGUUGGAUUAGCUAGUUGGUAGGGUAAAAGCCUACCAAGGCGACGAUCCAUAGCUGGUCGGAGAGGAUGAUCAGCCACACUGGGACUGCGACACGGCCCAGACUCCUACGGGAGGCAGCAGUAGGGAAUAUUAGACGAUGGGCGAAAGCCUGAUCCAGCAAUGCCGCGUGAGUGAUGAAGGCCUUAGGGUUGUAAAGCCCUUUUACCCGGGAUGAUAAUGACAGUACCGGGAGAAUAAGCUCCGGCUAACUCCGUG
rnacentral:rRNA from 1 species